rnacentral:lncRNA from 1 species
AUCAGGUUGGACCGGCUGGGGUAAUUUGUCCCGACUUUCUACCUUGGUAAUGUUAAAAUAGGAACAUUCCUGUGUGCAUGUGUCUUUCUUUUCUCCUUUAUUGAAGGCUCUGCACUGAACACAUUCUUUAUGCUCAGCACAGACACCAAGGCAGGUCUGACACAUCUCACACGUUUGCCCUUGAAACUUCGGAUCUGUACACUUACAGACACCACACUCGCAGAUGCCCCGGCCAUUGCAGAUCUGUCCGUUGCUGGCUUCACAAGUACUAGUAUCCAAAGAACAGUCACAUGCACUGCCAGUGUAGUUGGGGUUGCACUCACACACACGACACUUGCAAACACCAUUUCCUCCACAAAUUAAGCCAUUGGAUCUAUCACAGUUGAAAUUAUCACACUCGCAGAAUUUGCCAGAAUAAAUUUCAUUUGUAUUAUCCCUCUUCCUACAAACACACUGUCCGCAGACGCACUCUCCAUUGUUACUGCAGAUUUCUGAACUGUUUUCUUUCCUGCAGUAAGCAUCCAUGUCUUCACUGUUAACUUCAUCUGUGCUGCAUUCACAAUGUCUACCAACACGCCCUUCAUUGCACCUGCACGCGCCACACUCAAAUGUCCCAUUUCCUUCAUGACACUUGGGACUUUCAGGGAUGCCUUCGCUUUGGCAUUCACAUUCACAGAUGUACUGAAGAAUAACCUCUACUUCCUCCGUAAAGCCCAGAGGCCUAAUUUUAAAGCUGUCAGAAUCCUUUUUUGGACACUUAUUUGAAGUUAUGCUAAUUUCAAAUUGAACCUCAUCUCCAAUGGAAAUAUUGGAACAUUUUCUUCCAUUUUCC